GUGGGGAAUCUUGCGCAAUGGGCGAAAGCCUGACGCAGCCAUGCCGCGUGAAUGAUGAAGGUCUUAGGAUUGUAAAAUUCUUUCACCGGGGACGAUAAUGACGGUACCCGGAGAAGAAGCCCCGGCUAACUUCGUGCCAGCAGCCGCGGUAAUACGAAGGGGGCUAGCGUUGCUCGGAAUUACUGGGCGUAAAGGGCGCGUAGGCGGACAGUUUAGUCAGAGGUGAAAGCCCAGGGCUCAACCUUGGAAUUGCCUUUGUGACUGGCUGUAUUGAGUACGGGAGAGGUGAGAGGAACUCCGAGUGUAGAGGUGAAAUUCGUAGAUAUUCGGAAGAACACCAGUGGCGAAGGCGACUCACUGGCCCGUUACUGACGCUGAGGCGCGAAAGCGUGGGGAGCAAACAGGAUUAGAUACCCCUGUAGUCC
rnacentral:rRNA from 1 species